rnacentral:tRNA from 1 species
GCUCGCAUGGUGAAAUUGGUAGACACGACAGACUCAAAAUUUGUUUUCCUUAAUAGAAGUCCCGGUUCAAGUCCGGGUGCGAGCACCA